AGUAGGUUACUUCAGAUUUUAUUUACUACUUUACAAAACAAAUUAUCGCGUUGGUCAUCAUUAGUAAUAGUUACUUUAGACGUGGAUUGAGCAAAAAAUGUCCAAAUUAAGUAUGCAAAUUUAGAGCAAAAAAACAGAUUAUAUAAUUUGUGUUCGUCGCGUUAUAAAUACGGAUGCGACUCGCGUUAUUUCAUCAUUAUCAAGUUUCAUCAGUGAGCUCAAAAUCGCCGGAAAACAAUUGGAAAACAUUUUUUAUUAAAAUAAUUUUCAAUACGUCUUCUCAAGACUUAAGUGGAUUCAAAAUGUUUGGCUUUCGACUCGUUAUUCUCUCCUGUGCAUUUUUCCUUCUUUUCGCAAACAUUUCGGGGAACCCUGUGUCCGAUGGUGGGAAGCCGGAAGUGGUCAAAUUCCACAAUAAUUUGCACAAGAGAGAUGUCACGUGCUCUGCAAGCGGGUGCAAGAAGGUUCCCAACAAGGUUAUAAAUAGGAGACUGCAGUACAUGAAUUUGCCCUAUUGGUAGUUAUGUAGGUACUCUUAAAACGAAAAACUUUGUUUCAAGGGAUCACUAGUUGUGGCAUUGUUUUUGAAAAUAAAUUAAAUUGUUUUUGAAAAUAA